rnacentral:rRNA from 1 species
GACGAUCGCUGGCGGCGUGCUUAACACAUGCAAGUCGAACGGAAAGGCCCUGCUUUUGUGGGGUGCUCGAGUGGCGAACUGGUGAGUAACACGUGAGUAACCUGCCCUUGACUUUGGGAUCACUUCAGGAAACUGGGGCUAAUACCGGGUAGGAGCUCCUGCUGCCUGGUGGGGGUUGGAAAUUUUCGGCGGUUGGGGAUGGACUCGCGGCUUAUCAGUUUGUUGGUGGGCUUGUGGCGUACCAAGGCUUUGGCGGGUAGCCGGCCUGAGAGGGUGACCGGCCACAUUGGGCCUGAGAUACGGCACAGACUCCUACGGGAGGGAGCAGUGGGGAAUAUUGUACAAUGGGCGGAAGCCUGAUGCAGCAACGCCGCGUGCGGGAUGACGGCCUUCGGGUUGUAAACCGCUUUCGCCUGUGACGAAGCGUGAGUGACGGUAAUGGGUAAAGAAGCACCGGCUAACUACGUG